rnacentral:rRNA from 1 species
AUUGAACGCUGGCGGCAUGCCUUACACAUGCAAGUCGAACGGCAGCACGGGAGCUUGCUCCUGGUGGCGAGUGGCGAACGGGUGAGUAAUACAUCGGAACGUACCCUGAAGUGGGGGAGUAACGUAGCGAAAGUUACGCUAAUACCGCAUAUUCUGUGAGCAGGAAAGAAGGGGGAGUCGCAAGACCUCUUGCUUUAGGAGCGGCCGAUGUCGGAUUAGCUAGUUGGUGAGGUAAAGGACUCACCAAGGCGACGAUCCGUAGCGGGUCUGAGAGGAUGAUCCGCCACACUGGGACGUGAGACACGGCCCAGACUCCUACGGGAGGCAGCAGUGGGGGAAGUUUUGGACAAUGGGCGCAAGCCUGAUCCAGCCAUGCCGCGUGAGUGAAGAAGGCCUUC